UACGGAAGGUGCAAGCGUUAAUCGGAAUUACUGGGCGUAAAGGGCGCGUAGGCGGCCUUCUAAGUCGAACGUGAAAUCCCCGGGCUCAACCCGGGAACUGCGUCCGAUACUGGAAGGCUUGAAUCCGGGAGAGGGAUGCGGAAUUCCAGGUGUAGUGGUGAAAUGCGUAGAUAUCUGGAGGAACACCGGUGGCGAAGGCGGCAUCCUGGACCGGCAUUGACGCUGAGGCGCGAAAGCCAGGGGAGCAAACGGG
rnacentral:rRNA from 1 species